UGACAGCGACUGCACUUCACUUCAGAUUCAGGAAUUAGCUUAUUUUUGAAGAUUAAGGGAUGUAAGUGCCUGUAAGAUCUUUUUCUGACCUUAUCCAACUCAUCUGAAACAAAUUUUUCAGCAACAAAGGUUUGCUUUCUGGGGUCAACAAUGAGCCUUGGAACUCCUUCAAUGUUGAAAUCAUUGCUUCCAUCUUUUGGCAGGCACUGAAUUAUCACCAGAAGGGCACCUGCAGACUUGGCCUGUUUCUUUAAAUUAUCCAAUUGUGUUUUUUGAGAGAGUGGUGUGCUGAUGAUCACACCGAGCUUCAACUCUUUUAGUUGGAUUGAAGCAAUUGAAAGAGAAAUCUCGAAGGAUAUGUUGUUGAGAUGUUUAGAGUUUUGGAGAAAUGGGGUGAUUUCAUCUUGGUCAAUGAGAGGGUAUUUCAGGUGUUUGGCAAGCUUGUAGGCUACCGUGUUCCUUGUCUGGCCUUUCACUGCUAGGAUUAUUGGGGCAUCCAGUUGUUCAACCUCUUGUUUUUCCAUUUUCUUUCUGGUUUGGGUGCCUAUGGAAAGAGAUUAAUUGCAACUGUGAGGCUAGGUUACUCGAAUUCAGGGAUGGGGGACUUGGACAUAUAUCAAAAGGACACGGUUACGUGA
rnacentral:lncRNA from 1 species